UUCUCUAACAAGCAAGGAGGGGGCGGGGGGUACAUAACAGUUCAUUUUUCAUAAUUAUGAGGACAGAGCAGAUGAUGAUGAGAGAUGCAAGUAUAAAACACCAUUCACAAGGCUAGAUGUUAACAUAGCACAGUAUUUCUGGCAAUAAAACGCUCCAACUGACCAUUUCACACGAACUUUUAUCGCUGGAUAAUUUUGCGAUUUUUCAUCCAAUUCAAUCAUAUAUAUGCUCAAAAUCUUCGCGGUAAGUUUCUCUUUACCAUAAAAUUUGACCGAAUAAGUUUCGAAACAAUGCGACGGCAAAAAUGCGAAAAUCC